rnacentral:rRNA from 1 species
GACGAACGCGGGCGGCGUGCCUAAUACAUGCAAGUCGAGCGAAGUUUUUCUGGUGCUUGCACUAGAAAAACUUAGCGGCGAACGGGUGAGUAACACGUAAAGAACCUGCCUCAUAGACUGGGACAACUAUUGGAAACGAUAGCUAAUACCGGAUAACAGUAUUUCUCGCAUGAGAGAUAUUUAAAAGUUGGUUAUGCUAACACUAUGAGAUGGCUUUGCGGUGCAUUAGCUAGUUGGUGGGGUAAAGGCCCACCAAGGCGACGAUGCAUAGCCGACCUGAGAGGGUGAUCGGCCACACUGGGACUGAGACACGGCCCAGACUCCUACGGGAGGCAGCAGUAGGGAAUCUUCCGCAAUGGGCGAAAGCCUGACGGAGCAACGCCGCGUGAGUGAAGAAGGAUUUCGGUUCGUAAAGCUCUGUUGUUAGGGAAGAAUGGAUAUGUAGUAACUAUACAUAUAAGAGACGGUACCUAACCAGAA